rnacentral:rRNA from 1 species
GAGCUCGUAGGCGGUUUGUCGCGUCUGCUGUGAAAUCCCGAGGCUCAACCUCGGGUCUGCAGUGGGUACGGGCAGACUAGAGUGCGGUAGGGGAGAUUGGAAUUCCUGGUGUAGCGGUGGAAUGCGCAGAUAUCAGGAGGAACACCGAUGGCGAAGGCAGAUCUCUGGGCCGCUACUGACGCUGAGGAGCGAAAGGGUGGGGAGCAAACAGGCUUAGAUACCCUGGUAGUCCACCCCGUAAACGUUGGGCGCUAGAUGUGGGGACCAUUCCACGGUUUCCGUGUCGUAGCUAACGCAUUAAGCGCCCCGCCUGGGGAGUACGGCCGCAAGGCUAAAACUCAAAGGAAUUGACGGGGGCCCGCACAAGCGGCGGAGCAUGCGGAUUAAUUCGAUGCAACGCGAAGAACCUUACCAAGGCUUGACAUAUACGAGAACGGGCCAGAAAUGGUCAACUCUUUGGACACUCGUAAACAGGUGGUGCAUGGUUGUCGUCAGCUCGUGUCGUGAGAUGUUGGGUUAAGUCCCGCAACGAGCGCAACCCUCGUUCUAUGUUGCCAGCACGUCAUGGUGGGAACUCAUGGGAUACUGCCGGGGUCAACUCGGAGGAAGGUGGGGACGACGUCAAAUCAUCAUGCCCCUUAUGUCUUGGGCUUCACGCAUGCUACAAUGGCCAGUACAAAGGGCUGCAAUACCGUAAGGUGGAGCGAAUCCCAAAAAGCUGGUCCCAGUUCGGAUUGAGGUCUGCAACUCGACCUCAUGAAGUCGGAGUCGCUAGUAAUCGCAGAUCAGCAACGCUGCGGUGAAUACGUUCCCGGGCCUUGUACACACCGCCCGUCAAGUCAUGAAAGUCGGUAACACCCGAAGCCAGUGGCCUAACCGCAAGGAUGGAGCUGUCUAAAGGUGGGAUCGGUAAUUAGGACGAAGUCGU